UUACUUGAGAAUAUAUUUGACUGUGUUACAGACUAAGGGACAUUCUCUGCUGAUAGACGUCCACGCCUCGAAGGAAGUCGAUCCACGGAUUAGGCCCUGGAAACCGUUUCCUUCAGGCUCAAUAACAAUUUAUAAUUUACAGUUUGAUGAUUUAAAGUCUCACACACAACCCAUCGAAAGGGGAGGGGGGCGGCUGCUUCCAAAUAGAGCGCAUUUCAUUCAUAAUGAUGUAAAUCCAAGUCCAUUAUCUAUUCAUGAUUUGAAUCCUGGGUUGUGUGAAAUCCCAGAAAUAAACCCGAGACAAAGUGAAUCUGUGAACUAAGGUGUAGGUCUAUUAGGUUAUGUUGUGGUGAUCGGACAACAUGACGGAGGGACUGGAUUGCAGGGUAAGUCCUGAGACACACGGUAGUACAAGAAAUCCCUUUCACUGGAAAGAACAGUGACUGUCGCUGCCCCCUCUGUCUUCCAGUACUCCAGAGCGAAGAGACAGGACGGCCGGGGACAUCGCUGGGUUUUCUUUGCCUCGCUCCGAUUUUAGUGGAUUUUAAUGCUGUGGGUGACGCCACUGGAUUUUUUGUGUUGUUUUUAUGUUUUUACUGUGUGUUCUCCCUGGCCAGGGGUGUUUAACUGUUUUAAAAAAUAAAUAAAUUGUGAAAUAAAUUAUAUUUUCGUAAUCGAGUUUUAUAUUGUUCUUUUGCCUUGGCUACUCCACUGCUCUGUCCGUUUUUUGAGGGGUUUCCCUUCACUUAGAAUAAAACCACCUACAUAUCUGGCUAUUCUGAACAUGUCAGUGUCCUGUAACCAUCCGUCGGUAAACUGGAACUGGGCUUGUUGCAGGGAUCUGAAGUUACUAAACACUUCAUGAGUGUAUGCACUCACACUUAAGACCAUAUAAUUAUAAAUAUGAGCGUGAUGAAAGCUGGGCAGCACGCUAACGGCCACUCUUAUGCUUGUAUGGGUCUAACCCUUUCACUCCUUUGAUUUUUUUUCCUCGUACCUUUUUUUUUUUUUUUUUUUUGCCUUUUCAUCAAGUCUGUCUGUGUCAGACCUGCCGCUUUCUCCUUCGUUUUGUACAUAACUGUUUUGGGGGCAAAUAAUAUGCAAGUAGGGAUUAAAACUGCAGAAUGAAUGGUUACCGGUGAUGGAAAUGCUAGCGCUUGAUGCAGUGUUUUGAUUUUGCUGCUACUGGUACCUACAAUGCAACGCGUGCAAGUCACGUGGUCUGUCAAUCUCUAUACAUGUGUUUGUGUGUUCAUUUGGCCCCAUUGUACUUCUGUAUGUUCUCAUCCUCCUCCUUUUUGAUGUUGUUAUCUGCUAGGCUUUGGUCUUCUGCUCCUUGUCUGGUUUUUAACCAUCUUUGAUAGUGUCUCCUAUUGGAACUUGGAAACAGGACCAUGUUGCAGACUGUACAACGGUGCCCCGGAGACUAUUCAACACAUACUAGAAGGGUGUGAAAAAAAAAAAGUGGUCCCAUUGGUCAUGAGAGCAUUAGGAGACAAAGUCUCCUAAUGCAUAAAUGCAGGAGACAUUGUCGCAGAUUUCAGACACAAC
ensembl:lncRNA